GAUGAACGCUGGCGGCGUGCCUAAUACAUGCAAGUCGAGCGAACAGGCGAGGAGCUUGCUCCUCUGACGUUAGCGGCGGACGUGUGAGUAACACGUGGAUAACCUACCUAUCAGACUGGGAUCACUUCGGGAAACCGGCGCUAAUACCGUAUAAUAUAUUGAACCGCGGUGUUCAAUAGUGAAAGUCGGUGUUGCUGGCUGUUAUAGAUGGAUCCGCGCCGCAUUAGCUAGUUGUUAAGGUAACGGCUUACCAAGGCAACGAUGCGUAGGCGACCUGAGAGGGUGAUCGGCCACACUGGAACUGAGACACGGUCCAGACUCCUGCGGGAGGCAGCAGUAGGGAAUCUUAGGCAAUGGGCGAAAGCCUGACGGAGCAACGCCGCGUGAGUGAUGAAGGUCUUCGGAUCGUAAAACUCUGUUAUUAGGGAAGAACAGAUGUGUAAGUAACUAUGCACGUCUUGACGGUACCUAAUCAGAAAGCCACGGCUAACUACGUG
rnacentral:rRNA from 1 species